CCUACGGGAGGCAGCAGUGGGGAAUUUUGGACAAUGGGGGCAACCCUGAUCCAGCCAUUCCGCGUGAGUGAAGAAGGCCUUCGGGUUGUAAAGCCCUUUUGUUCGGGACGAAACGGUUAAGGUUAAUAACCUUGACUACUGACGGUACCGGAAGAAUAAGCACCGGCUAACUACGUGCCAGCAGCCGCGGUAAUACGUAGGGUGCGAGCGUUAAUCGGAAUUACUGGGCGUAAAGCGUGCGCAGGCGGUUUUGUAAGCCAGAUGUGAAAUCCCCGGGCUCAACCUGGGAAUGGCAUUUGGGACUGCAAGGCUAGAGUAUGGCAGAGGGGACUAGAAUUCCUGGUGUAGCAGUGAAAUGCGUAGAUAUCAGGAGGAAUACCGAUGGCGAAGGCAGGUCCCUGGGCCAAUACUGGCGCUCAUGCACGAAAGCGUGGGGAGCAAACAGGAUUAGAUACCCUGGUAGUCCACGCCCUAAACGAUGUCAACUGGUUGUUGGGGGAUUUAUUCUCUUAGUAACGAAGCUAACGCGUGAAGUUGACCGCCUGGGGAGGUACGGUCGCGAGAGUAAACUACAAUAGAUAGAGCGNGAGACGNGCGACGACGACGACGAGGGAGGAGG
rnacentral:rRNA from 1 species